GCGCAACCCUCGUCGUAUGUUAUAUGUGUCAUACGAGACUGCCGGUAAAAGCCGGAGGAAGGUGAGGAUGAUGUCAAGUCAGCAUGACCUUUAUAUCCAGGGCUACACACACGCUACAAUGGUCUGUACAAUGGGUAGCCAAGCCGCGAGGCGGAGCCAAUCCUGAAAGCAGGCCUCAGUUCAGAUUGCAGUCUGCAACUCGACUGCAUGAAGCCGGAGUUGCUAGUAACCGCAGGUCAGCAAUACUGCGGUGAAUACGUUCCCGGGUCUU
rnacentral:rRNA from 1 species